GACGAACGCUGGCGGCGUGCUUAACACAUGCAAGUCGAACGGAAAGGCCCUGCUUUUGUGGGGUGCUCGAGUGGCGAACGGGUGAGUAACACGUGAGUAACCUGCCCUUGACUUUGGGAUAACUUCAGGAAACUGGGGCUAAUACCGGAUAGGAGCUCCUGCUGCAGGGUGGGGGUUGGAAAGUUUCGGCGGUUGGGGAGGGACUCGCGGCUUAUCAGCUUGUUGGUGGGGGAGUGGCUUACCAAGGCUUUGACGGGUAGCCGGCCUGAGGGGGUGACCGGCCACAUUGGGACUGAGAUACGGCCCAGACUCCUACGGGAGGCAGCAGUGGGGAAUAUUGCACAAUGGGCGGAAGCCUGAUGCAGCAACGCCGCGUGCGGGAUGACGGCCUUCGGGUUGUAAACCGCUUUCGCCUGUGACGAAGCGUGAGUGACGGUAAUGGGUAAAGAAGCACCGGCUAACUACGUG
rnacentral:rRNA from 1 species